rnacentral:rRNA from 1 species
GACGAACGCUGGCGGCGUGCUUAACACAUGCAAGUCGAACGCUGAAGACCUGGCUUUUGUUGGGUUGGCUGAGUGGCGAACGGGUGAGUAACACGUGAGUAACCUGCCCUCUUCUUUGGGAUAACGCCCGGAAACGGGUGCUAAUACUGGAUAUUCACUGGCCUUCGCAUGGGGGUUGGUGGAAAGGUUUGUUCUGGUGGGGGAUGGGCUCGCGGCCUAUCAGCUUGUUGGUGGGGUGAUGGCCUACCAAGGCUUUGACGGGUAGCCGGCCUGAGAGGGUGACCGGUCACAUUGGGACUGAGAUACGGCCCAGACUCCUACGGGAGGCAGCAGUGGGGAAUAUUGCACAAUGGGCGAAAGCCUGAUGCAGCGACGCCGCGUGAGGGAUGGAGGCCUUCGGGUUGUAAACCUCUUUCGCUCAUGGUCAAGCCGCAACUGUGGGUUGUGGUGAGGGUAGUGGGUAAAGAAGCGCCGGCUAACUACGUG